rnacentral:rRNA from 1 species
UACGUAGGGCGCAAGCGUUAUCCGGAAUUAUUGGGCGUAAAGAGCUCGUAGGCGGUUUGUCGCGUCUGCCGUGAAAGUCCGUGGCUCAACUCCGGAUCUGCGGUGGGUACGGGCAGACUAGAGUGAUGUAGGGGAGACUGGAAUUCCUGGUGUAGCGGUGAAAUGCGCAGAUAUCAGGAUGAACACCGAUGGCGAAGGCAGGUCUCUGGGCAUUAACUGACGCUGAGGAGCGAAAGCAUGGGGAGCGAACAGG